rnacentral:rRNA from 1 species
CCUACGGGGGGCAGCAGUGAGGAAUAUUGGUCAAUGGACGAGAGUCUGAACCAGCCAAGUAGCGUGAAGGAUGACUGCCCUAUGGGUUGUAAACUUCUUUUAUAUGGGAAUAAAAUGUUCCACGUGUGGGAUUUUGUAUGUACCAUAUGAAUAAGGAUCGGCUAACUCCGUGCCAGCAGCCGCGGUAAUACGGAGGAUCCGAGCGUUAUCCGGAUUUAUUGGGUUUAAAGGGAGCGUAGGUGGAUUGUUAAGUCAGUUGUGAAAGUUUGCGGCUCAACCGUAAAAUUGCAGUUGAAACUGGCAGUCUUGAGUACAGUAGAGGUGGGCGGAAUUCGUGGUGUAGCGGUGGAAUGCUUAGAUAUCACGAAGAACUCCGAUUGCGAAGGCAGCUCACUGGACUGCAACUGACACUGAGGCUCGAAAGUGUGGGUAUCAAACAGGAUUAGAUACCCUUGUAGUC